rnacentral:rRNA from 1 species
UACGGGGGGGGCAAGCGUUGUUCGGAAUUACUGGGCGUAAAGGGCUCGUAGGCGGCCAACUAAGUCAGACGUGAAAUCCCUCGGCUUAACCGGGGAACUGCGUCUGAUACUGGAUGGCUUGAGUUUGGGAGAGGGAUGCGGAAUUCCAGGUGUAGCGGUGAAAUGCGUAGAUAUCAGGAGGAACACCGGUGGCGAAGGCGGGUCUCUGGGAAGUAACUGACGCUGAGAAGCGAAAGCAUGGGUAGCAAACAGG